rnacentral:rRNA from 1 species
UACAGAGGGUGCAAGCGUUAAUCGGAAUUACUGGGCGUAAAGCGUGCGUAGUCGGUUAUUUAAGUCGGGCGUGAAAGCCCCGGGCUCAACCUGGGAAUUGCGUUCGAUACUGGAUAGCUAGAGUUCGGGAGAGGUGAGUGGAACUGCGAGUGUAGAGGUGAAAUUCGUAGAUAUUCGCAGGAACACCAGUGGCGAAGGCGGCUUACUGGUCCAUAACUGACGCUGAGGUGCGAAAGCGUGGGGAGCAAACAGG